UACGGAGGGUGCGAGCGUUGUCCGGAAUCAUUGGGCGUAAAGGGCGCGUAGGCGGCCCGCUAAGUCGAACGUGAAAUCCCCGAGCUCAACUCGGGAACUGCGUCCGAUACUGGCGGGCUUGAAUCCGGGAGAGGGAUGCGGAAUUCCAGGUGUGAGCGGUGAAAUGCGUGGAUAUCUGGAGGAACACCGGUGGCGAAGGCGGCAUCCUGGACCGGCAUUGACGCUGAGGCGCGAAAGCUAGGGGAGCAAACGGGG
rnacentral:rRNA from 1 species